GAUGAACGCUGGCGGCGUGCCUAAUACAUGCAAGUCGAGCGAACAGACGAGGAGCUUGCUCCUCUGACGUUAGCGGCGGACGGGUGAGUAACACGUGGAUAACCUACCUAUAAGACUGGGAUAACUUCGGGAAACCGGAGCUAAUACCGGAUAAUAUAUUGAACCGCAUGGUUCAAUAGUGAAAGACGGUUUUGCUGUCACUUAUAGAUGGAUCCGCGCCGUAUUAGCUAGUUGGUAAGGUAACGGCUUACCAAGGCAACGAUGCGUAGCCGACCUGAGAGGGUGAUCGGCCACACUGGAACUGAGACACGGUCAAGACUCCUACGGGAGGCAGCAGUAGGGAAUCUUCCGCAAUGGGCGAAAGCCUGACGGAGCAACGCGGGGUGAGUGAUGAAGGUCUUCGGAUCGUAAAACUCUGUUAUUAGGGAAGAACAAAUGUGUAAGUAACUAUGCACGUCUUGACGGUACCUAAUCAGAAAGCCACGGCUAACUACGUG
rnacentral:rRNA from 1 species